AUACCAUGUACCCUCAACCUUAAAACCCUAAAACCUAUACUAUAAAUCUUUAAAACCUAUACUCUAAACCAUAGGGUUUGUGAGUUUGCAUAAAGUGUCACGUAUAAGUGUUUCUAACAUGUGAGUUUGCAUAAGAGUCUCGACUAUGUGUUUGUUCAAAAGUGACGUAAGUGUUUAGACUAGAGCCGGCCGUGAGCACAAGCGGGCCAAGCCCAUGCUUGCGGCAGAUUAUCCUAUAAUUAUGUUUUGCGGCUUUACAAUUUUGAAUUUGUUUUGUUGUUUAGUGGUCGAGUCAGGGAUGA